ACUUUGUGGCAAGAAAAAUAAUACUGAUUUCGGGUAUUUUUACUCUUACUAACGCUAUUAUGUUUUCCUCGCGUUAUUUUCAUCAUUUUCCUAGCGUGUAGGCCUACACGUAGAAAGCGGAGUGAUUUUUUUUUUUUUAGGAAAAAAAAAUCGCUUACGAUGUGAUUUCGCUACAAUUUAUUUUGGACCGAUUUGAAUUUUGUUUUCAGUUUUCGUCAUACGCGUAGUCAAGUAAAUAUCCGGGUAGGUAUUAUUUAUUCCAAUACUGCCUAACAUUUUAAAGUUGAUUUCGUAUUUUCGUCAAUUUGAGGCUUGCCGCUUUAAAACCGUAACUUUUUUUGCCCGCCGUAUUGGAGUUGAGAAAAAAAAAUAACACUGAUUUCAAGUAUUAUUCCUUUCAACAUCUGCUUCGAUUUUGCUUAACGAUUUGACAUUUUCGUAGCCGCAACGAUUAAUUUGAUUUAAA